UACGGAGGAUCCGAGCGUUAUCCGGAUUUAUUGGGUUUAAAGGGUGCGCAGGCGGGAGAUUAAGUCGGCGGUGAAAUUUUGCAGCUCAACUGUAAAAGUGCCUUCGAAACUGGUUUCCUUGAGUGUAGAUGAAGUAGGCGGAAUUUGUGGUGUAGCGGUGAAAUGCAUAGAUAUCACGAGGAACUCCGAUUGCGCAGGCAGCUUACUAAACCACUACUGACGCUCAUGCACGAAGGCGUGGGGAUCAAACAGGAUUAGAUACCCG
rnacentral:rRNA from 1 species